UAUAGAUUACAUGUGUGGGGGAUUAUGAAAGGUUUCACGUUUACACUUAGGUUUUCAUUAUCAUUUUAGAAUCAGUCAGAUGUUGAGUGUAAUGAGAAAGCUACACAUAUAUUUGAAGACCUGAAUGUUUAUGACUACAGUUUCACGCUUCUCAACUUUUUUUUUUGGCACACUUCACUCCUCUCUGCUCACAAGAUCUGCCAACACCUGCUUACUACGCGCCGGAAAACACGUAGACCCUAAACAAAACAAAACAGGAUUGUUAUGCUUCUUCUGAACAGAUAAAGAUUUUUAGGGAUUAGUUCUUGAUCACGUUAUGGGACGUCCCAAAUUAAGUGGGCUACUAUUAAAGGAGGGUGUUACACUUUUCUUUUUGCUACGGAUUAAAUGUUGAAGUGCUCUGCUGGAUUUAGACGAAAAGUGUUUUGUGGACAUUGCUUUAAUUUAUCAUUGUGGAUCUUAGAGCUAAUAAUACGGUGCUUAUUCAAAAGAAGGGAACAUUAGAAGAGACAAAUGGAGAGGAGGAGGGAUGAACAUUCACAAGCCAGCGGAUCAAAACCAGCAAAUGUGGAGAAUCUUGUUAAAAGGAGGAGUAUGAGUCAACCUCCUCUGGAUCUGAAAUUCUCUCAUGAUGCAGACAGACCAGAGAGUUAUCUCGAUGUAUCAGAAUCAAAGACGAGCAGAUCAUCUGAGCACCAACCAGACAAAACUCUGUGAAUCUCUUACAUUUCUUCAGAUGGAGCUGAAAUAGUUAAUUGUUUCCAGUCCUGGCUUUAUCCAAUCAGGAGCUUCUUCAGCAGCUUGGGUUCAGAAAUCCACCUUUAUGUAGAAAGUAGAAAGUAUGUAAGUCUUGCCAGUUUACUCUUAACUGUAAAGGAGUUUUCCAUAUUGAUUUUUUUACAGGUGUUUUAUUUUCCGUUGUUGUUUUUGUUGUUUAACAGUGUUUUCUGUGUUUUCUGUGCACACACAGUGAGCACAAAUCAGACAUUACUGAACUGAUCUUAACUGAGUUACAAUAAAAUGUCUUGAAUGUAACUAGUUGGGAGAAAAACCAGAGACAACAGCUAUAUACUUAUAAACCUGUUGCUGUCUUGUGUCAUUAAUGUUUAGUGAAAAAAAAAAAAAACGCUUUUUCAUCAAUCUUGACUUAACUUCUUUACACCUUUAAUAAGGAUUAAGCUAUAUUUAAUUUAUCGUUGUAGUAUUUCAUACCUGAAUGCUGGACAGUAUCUUUCAUUUGUAUCCUUGUUCAUUUGUAUUUGCACUAUCGCUCAUAAUUUGGUUAUAAAUUAUUUUAUUUUAAUGCCCAGGGAAUGUUCAUUGGUCCUACCUUACAUAAAAUCAAAUAUAUUGUGUAUAUGUAAAGAUUGUGUAUACUGUAUGUACUGUAUGUUUUUUUAAUAUGAUUCUGCCAAAAAUAAACUAUCAUCAUCAUUUGCUCACCCUCAUGUCCUCAUUGUUUCAGUAUUGCUUUGCUACACAAAACUAAAUGCCUCAAUGUUCAUAUGAUCUCAUAUUUAGAUUUUAGAAGGGUAGAAAAUUAUUUGUAUUUUGGACCAAGGGAUUAAUUUUGUUUCAUUUUUAUUUGCAGUGUAAAGUUGUAUAUAUGCUAUGUAUCAAGAACAUUUUUCAAAGAGACCUGCAAAAAAAAAGAAGAAAAAAAAAAAAAAAGAGCCAGAACAGCCACAUCCAGUAAAAAAAUGAGACAAAUUCCUCUGAAGCAAAUACUUCUGGAUACAGUAGACUGUCUAACACUGAGUGAAGUCCAUAUCACCUGCUUCAACAUGUUCCUUCCUGGGAGAAGACAAGAAGACUAAAGAGACAAAUGUUUAUGUGUGAAAAUAUUUAGGAAUGUGAAUCAAACCCAGUAUCCACACACACAUGCAAAAUACCAAAAUAAUAUUAUUUAUAUGUUAAUUACAUUGCAACAUUGCAAACAACAAUACAUUCAGAGAAGAACUUAACUUGAAGCAUAAAGAAAACAAAGGGAACAAUAGCCUAAAA
rnacentral:lncRNA from 1 species